GACGGAGGGGACUAGCGUUGUUCGGAAUUACUGGGCGUAAAGCGCACGUAGGCGGAUUUGUAAGUCAGGGGUGAAAUCCCGAGGCUCAACCUCGGAACUGCCUUUGAUACUGCAAAUCUCGAGUCCGGAAGAGGUGAGUGGAAUUCCUAGUGUAGAGGUGAAGUUCGUAGAUAUUAGGAAGAACACCAGUGGCGAAGGCGGCUACCUGGCCCACUCUUGACGCUGAGGCGCGAAAGCUAGGGGAGCAAACGGG
rnacentral:rRNA from 1 species